GCCUUACCUGUGGCUAGAGUGUGUUAGAUUUCUGAUAUGAUAAAAUGUUAUUUAUUUUUAUGAAUAACUUAUUGACACAUAUCUAAAGUUAAAAGAACCACAUAUUUUAUAUAAAAUUAUUCCUUUUUUUAAUAGUUUGUUUAAUUCGAAAAGGAUUUGGUCAAUUUAAGUGUUGUUUCUGUGAUAUAUUUAAAAGAUUUUGCACUGACUUAGUAGCAGUGGAACUUGCAUAAUGUCUGUGUUCCUCUAGUGGCAGGUCGAAGUACAAAUUAUGAAAAACAGGAAGCUAUCACAGUUGUUAGACUACUGCAAAUAAUAUUUCUCAAUUAGUGAUCUGAAAUAUUUGAUGCAGAAUUUUUGAAUUGUAUAUAUUUUCGAAAUGAUGGAAAUAUUGUGAUGUUGAAAAUUUAAUAAAUAAUACCAGACAUGUAUUGAAAAAUAUA